UUAAUUCGAUGAUACGCGAGGAACCUUACCUGGGCUUAAAUGUAGAGUGCAUUUUUUAGAGAUUAGAAAUUCCCUUCGGGGCUUUCUGCAAGGUGCUGCAUGGUUGUCGUCAGCUCGUGCCGUGAGGUGUCGGGUUAAGUCCCAUAACGAGCGCAACCCUUAUCGUUAGUUGCCAUCUGGUAAUGCAGGGGACUCUAGCGAAACUGCCACCGUAAGGUGAGAGGAAGGUGGGAUGACGUCAAAUCAGCACGGCCCUUAUGUCCAGGGCUACACACGUGUUACAAUGGUCGGUACAGAGGGCAGCUACCUGGUGACAGGAUGCUAAUCUCGAAAACCGGUCUCAGUUCGGAUCGAAGUCUGCAACUCGACUUCGUGAAGCUGGAUUCGCUAGUAAUCGCGCAUCAGCUAUGGCGCGGUGAAUACGUUCCCGGGCCUU
rnacentral:rRNA from 1 species